rnacentral:lncRNA from 1 species
UACAACUUGUCACUUAAUCCCUACCCAAUGCAAUUUCAAUCUUACACUAAGAUCAGAGUUCCUACUCACUCCCCCUCAAUCACCUCAGUGAUUACUACCUUUAAUCAAUAUUAAAGACAACUUUGAAGUCACACUUCAAACAACUCUUGAUUGUGCUUUACAGCUUUAAUCAAGAUACACAGCACUCACGCUUAAAAGCUU